ACUUUUGCCCGUCGCCCCAAGAUGGCGGACACGCUGAGGUGGUGCUGCGUCGGUUGCGCCUGAGGUGGCUGUGAGGACUAACGGUCGGCGCGGCUCCACAGCUGAGGCAGAAGACCGUCGUCCAAGGAGGAGGAAGAAGAGGAGGCGGCCCCACUGCCGGCCGACUUCUCGCUAGCCACCGGCUCAACACUCCCGCCACCCAGGGUUGGCCCCUCAGCAGCCCGCCCGCUGCCAGACCCCGCUGCCUUCCCCAGCCGCCGCCAUGAAGCUGACCGACAGCGUGCUGCGGAGCUUCCGCGUCGCCAGGGUGUUCUGCGAAAACUCGGACAAGAUUAAUUGCUUCGAUUUCAGCCCCAACGGCCAGACGAUCAUCUCAAGCAGCAACGACGACUCCAUCGUGCUCUACGACUGCCAGGAGGGCAAGCCAAAGAGAACCCUGUACAGUAAGAAAUAUGGCGUGGACCUCAUCAGAUUCACUCAUGAGGCAAACACAGCUGUUUACAGCUCUAACAAAAUAGACGAUACUAUUCGUUACUUGUCCUUGCAUGACAACAAAUACAUCAGAUACUUUCCUGGACAUAGCAAAAGGGUGGUGGCCUUGUCCAUGUCACCUGUGGAUGACAUUUUCAUUUCUGGGUCUCUUGAUAGGACCAUUCGACUCUGGGAUCUCCGGGCUCCUAACUGCCAGGGCCUCGUGCAUCUACACGGGAAGCCAGUUUGUUCUUUUGAUCCAGAAGGGUUAAUUUUGGCUGCAGGUGUCAACUCUGAGAUGGUCAAACUUUACGACCUUCGUUCUUUUGAUAAGGGACCGUUUACUACCUUUAAGAUGCAGUGUCAUCGAACCUGUGAGUGGACAGGACUUAAAUUCAGCAACGAUGGCAAGGUCAUCCUCAUUGCCACCAACGGCAGCUUCAUUUCUCUCAUUGAUGCAUUCAAAGGAGUGGUGAUGCACACGUUUGACGGUUAUGCAAACAGCAAAGCUGUCACACUGGAGGCUUCGUUUACUCCAGACUCUCAGUUUAUUAUGAUUGGUUCGGAGGAUGGCAAGAUCCAUGUCUGGAAUGGAGAGACUGGUAUAAAAGUAGCUGUGUUGGAUGGUAAACACACCGGCCCGAUUACAUGUUUGCAAUUCAACCCCAAGUUCAUGACUUUUGCCAGCGCAUGUUCCAACAUGGUCUUCUGGUUGCCCACCAUUGAUGACUCGCCCUAA